ACGGGAGGCAGCAGUGGGGAACAUUGCACAAUGGGGGAAACCCUGAUGCAGCGACGCCGCGUGAGUGAAGAAGUUAUUCGUAAUGUAAAGCUCUAUCAGCAGGGAAGAAAAUGACGGUACCUGACUAAGAAGCCCCGGCUAACUACGUGCCAGCAGCCGCGGUAAUACGUAGGGGGCAAGCGUUAUCCGGAUUUACUGGGUGUAGAGGGAGCGUAGACGGCUUUGUAAGUCUGAUGUGAAAGGCAGGGGCUCAACUCCUGGACUGCAUUGGAAACUACAGAGCUUGAGUGCCAGAGAGGUAAGCGGAAUUCCUAGUGUAGCGGUGAAAUGCGUAGAUAUUAGGAGGAACACCAGUGGCGAAGGCGGCUUACUGGACGGUAACUGACGUUGAGGCUCGAAAGCGUGGGGAGCAAACAGGAUUAGAUACCCUGGUA
rnacentral:rRNA from 1 species